GAUGAAGAACGCAGCGAAAUGCGAUACGUAAUGUGAAUUGCAGAAUUCAGUGAAUCAUCGAAUCUUUGAACGCACAUUGCGCCCGCCAGCAUUCUGGCGGGCAUGCCUGUCCGAGCGUCAUUUCAACCCUCAGGGUCCCCCCGCCUCGCGCGGUCGGAGCCUGGUGUUGGGGAUCGGCCCGCCCCGCGCGGCGCCGUCCCCCAAAUACAGUGGCGGUCCCGCCGCAGCCUCCCCUGCGCAGUAGUUAUCAACUCGCACUGGAGCGCGGCGCGGCCACGCCGUAAAACCCCCGACUUUCAGAAAGUUGACCUCGGAUCAGGUAGGAAUACCCGCUGAACUUAAGCAUAUCAAUAAGCGGAGGA
rnacentral:misc_RNA from 1 species